UACGAAGGGGGCUAGCGUUGUUCGGAAUUACUGGGCGUAAAGCGCGCGCAGGCGGCUAUCCAAGUCAGUGGUGAAAGCCCGGAGCUCAACUCCGGAACUGCCAUUGAAACUGUUUAGCUGGAGUAUGAGAGAGGUGAGUGGAAUUCCCAGUGUAGAGGUGAAAUUCGUAGAUAUUGGGAAGAACACCGGUGGCGAAGGUGGCUCACUGGCUCAUUACUGACGCUCAUGCGCGACAGCGUGGGGAUCAAACAGG
rnacentral:rRNA from 1 species